rnacentral:rRNA from 1 species
GGUUAAGCGACUAAGCGUACACGGUGGAUGCCCUGGCAGUCAGAGGCGAUGAAGGACGUGCUAAUCUGCGAUAAGCGUCGGUAAGGUGAUAUGAACCGUUAUAACCGGCGAUUUCCGAAUGGGGAAACCCAGUGUGAUUCGUCACACUAUCAUUAACUGAAUCCAUAGGUUAAUGAGGCGAACCGGGGGAACUGAAACAUCUAAGUACCCCGAGGAAAAGAAAUCAACCGAGAUUCCCCCAGUAGCGGCGAGCGAACGGGGAGCAGCCCAGAGCCUGAAUCAGUGUGUGUGUUAGUGGAAGCGUCUGGAAAGGCGCGCGAUACAGGGUGACAGCCCCGUACACAAAAAUGCACAUGCUGUGAGCUCGAUGAGUAGGGCGGGACACGUGGUAUCCUGUCUGAAUAUGGGGGGACCAUCCUCCAAGGCUAAAUACUCCUGACUGACCGAUAGUGAACCAGUACCGUGAGGGAAAGGCGAAAAGAACCCCGGCGAGGGGAGUGAAAAAGAACCUGAAACCGUGUACGUACAAGCAGUGGGAGCACGCUUAGGCGUGUGACUGCGUACCUUUUGUAUAAUGGGUCAGCGACUUAUAUUCUGUAGCAAGGUUAACCGAAUAGGGGAGCCGAAGGGAAACCGAGUCUUAACUGGGCGUUAAGUUGCAGGGUAUAGACCCGAAACCCGGUGAUCUAGCCAUGGGCAGGUUGAAGGUUGGGUAACACUAACUGGAGGACCGAACCGACUAAUGUUGAAAAAUUAGCGGAUGACUUGUGGCUGGGGGUGAAAGGCCAAUCAAACCGGGAGAUAGCUGGUUCUCCCCGAAAGCUAUUUAGGUAGCGCCUCGUGAACUCAUCUCCGGGGGUAGAGCACUGUUUCGGCAAGGGGGUCAUCCCGACUUACCAACCCGAUGCAAACUGCGAAUACCGGAGAAUGUUAUCACGGGAGACACACGGCGGGUGCUAACGUCCGUCGUGAAGAGGGAAACAACCCAGACCGCCAGCUAAGGUCCCAAAGUCAUGGUUAAGUGGGAAACGAUGUGGGAAGGCCCAGACAGCCAGGAUGUUGGCUUAGAAGCAGCCAUCAUUUAAAGAAAGCGUAAUAGCUCACUGGUCGAGUCGGCCUGCGCGGAAGAUGUAACGGGGCUAAACCAUGCACCGAAGCUGCGGCAGCGACGCUUAUGCGUUGUUGGGUAGGGGAGCGUUCUGUAAGCCUGUGAAGGUGUGCUGUGAGGCAUGCUGGAGGUAUCAGAAGUGCGAAUGCUGACAUAAGUAACGAUAAAGCGGGUGAAAAGCCCGCUCGCCGGAAGACCAAGGGUUCCUGUCCAACGUUAAUCGGGGCAGGGUGAGUCGACCCCUAAGGCGAGGCCGAAAGGCGUAGUCGAUGGGAAACAGGUUAAUAUUCCUGUACUUGGUGUUACUGCGAAGGGGGGACGGAGAAGGCUAUGUUGGCCGGGCGACGGUUGUCCCGGUUUAAGCGUGUAGGCUGGUUUUCCAGGCAAAUCCGGAAAAUCAAGGCUGAGGCGUGAUGACGAGGCACUACGGUGCUGAAGCAACAAAUGCCCUGCUUCCAGGAAAAGCCUCUAAGCAUCAGGUAACAUCAAAUCGUACCCCAAACCGACACAGGUGGUCAGGUAGAGAAUACCAAGGCGCUUGAGAGAACUCGGGUGAAGGAACUAGGCAAAAUGGUGCCGUAACUUCGGGAGAAGGCACGCUGAUAUGUAGGUGAAGUCCCUCGCGGAUGGAGCUGAAAUCAGUCGAAGAUACCAGCUGGCUGCAACUGUUUAUUAAAAACACAGCACUGUGCAAACACGAAAGUGGACGUAUACGGUGUGACGCCUGCCCGGUGCCGGAAGGUUAAUUGAUGGGGUCAGCGCAAGCGAAGCUCUUGAUCGAAGCCCCGGUAAACGGCGGCCGUAACUAUAACGGUCCUAAGGUAGCGAAAUUCCUUGUCGGGUAAGUUCCGACCUGCACGAAUGGCGUAAUGAUGGCCAGGCUGUCUCCACCCGAGACUCAGUGAAAUUGAACUCGCUGUGAAGAUGCAGUGUACCCGCGGCAAGACGGAAAGACCCCGUGAACCUUUACUAUAGCUUGACACUGAACAUUGAGCCUUGAUGUGUAGGAUAGGUGGGAGGCUUAGAAGUGUGGACGCCAGUCUGCAUGGAGCCGACCUUGAAAUACCACCCUUUAAUGUUUGAUGUUCUAACGUUGACCCGUAAUCCGGGUUGCGGACAGUGUCUGGUGGGUAGUUUGACUGGGGCGGUCUCCUCCUAAAGAGUAACGGAGGAGCACGAAGGUUGGCUAAUCCUGGUCGGACAUCAGGAGGUUAGUGCAAUGGCAUAAGCCAGCUUGACUGCGAGCGUGACGGCGCGAGCAGGUGCGAAAGCAGGUCAUAGUGAUCCGGUGGUUCUGAAUGGAAGGGCCAUCGCUCAACGGAUAAAAGGUACUCCGGGGAUAACAGGCUGAUACCGCCCAAGAGUUCAUAUCGACGGCGGUGUUUGGCACCUCGAUGUCGGCUCAUCACAUCCUGGGGCUGAAGUAGGUCCCAAGGGUAUGGCUGUUCGCCAUUUAAAGUGGUACGCGAGCUGGGUUUAGAACGUCGUGAGACAGUUCGGUCCCUAUCUGCCGUGGGCGCUGGAGAACUGAGGGGGGCUGCUCCUAGUACGAGAGGACCGGAGUGGACGCAUCACUGGUGUUCGGGUUGUCAUGCCAAUGGCACUGCCCGGUAGCUAAAUGCGGAAGAGAUAAGUGCUGAAAGCAUCUAAGCACGAAACUUGCCCCGAGAUGAGUUCUCCCUGACCCUUUAAGGGUCCUGAAGGAACGUUGAAGACGACGACGUUGAUAGGCCGGGUGUGUAAGCGCAGCGAUGCGUUGAGCUAACCGGUACUAAUGAACCGUGAGGCUUAACCUU